CAGAUCUUCACUGCAUGGACGAGAGCAGGCUGGAGUCAUGGAUCAGGGAGAGAUGGAAGAAGAUUUGACAACCAUUCAUGGUCACCGUGACAGCCCUUUAAAUUCUUCAGGAAAUGGACCAGAGCUCUUCUGACUCUACAGUGAUCCUUGAACUAAGUUCCG